rnacentral:rRNA from 1 species
UGCGUAGGCGGAUUAAUAAGUCAGUGGUGAAAACCUGCAGCUUAACUGCAGACCUGCCAUUGAUACUGUUAGUCUUGAGUACGGUCAAGGUAGGCGGAAUGUGUAAUGUAGCGGUGAAAUGCUUAGAUAUUACACAGAACACCGAUUGCGAAGGCAGCUUACUGGGCCAUUACUGACGCUGAGGCACGAAAGCGUGGGGAGCGAACAGGAUUAGAUACCCUGGUAGUC